UUUGGCAUUGGGAUUAUUUUUAAUAAUGCCAUUACCAACCGCGUGUAAAAGGUGAGUUUUACCUAAACCAGUGCCGCCAUA
rnacentral:antisense_RNA from 1 species